GUGCCAGCAGCCGCGGUAAUACCGGCAGCCCGAGUGAUGGCCGAUCUUAUUGGGCCUAAAGCGUCCGUAGCUGGCUGCGCAAGUCCGUCAGGAAAUCCACGUGCUUAACACGUGGGCGACCGGCGGAAACUGCACAGCUUGGGACCGGAAGGCUCGAAGGGUACGUUCGGGGUAGGAGUGAAAUCCCAUAAUCCCGCACGGACCACCGAUGGCGAAAGCACUUCGAGAAAACGGAUCCGACAGUGAGGGACGAAAGCCAGGGUCUCCAACCGGAUUAGAAACCCUGGUAGUCC
rnacentral:rRNA from 1 species